rnacentral:misc_RNA from 1 species
ACUCCAGUUUAAAGCCUCACAAACAAACAAAUUUUCAAUAAAUACUAAACGAGACGGAGACAAUAAAAUGUCAACCAAAUCAGUAAUCAAAGAUUCCAGACCAACCACUCACCCUCCGCCCCAAAAAUAACAAGGGAUGGGCACUGAGGUCUGAUGCCUAUCAAGCCAUCAAACUGGCAAACGAGUCCCUGUCGCUGGGGCUUAGACAAAAGUCAAAGGACCAAAGGACCGGGCCAAGUGUCACUGACAUCGGAAAUCCGAGGAGGAGCGACGACGAAAUGGAAGGUGGAACCCGCCCCCUCAGAGCUCUGCUCAGCUACGUCCUGGCUGAUUUUAGUCUGCAUUAUUGAUGAAAUGCCACAGAUGCCGAAGAGACAAGCUGGCCCGAAUAUGUGCAAUUUAAGCGUAUUAGGAACGACCCAGUAGCCAAGGAGCUCACACACACACAAAAAUCAAAUCAAUUUUAAUUUUGGGGGAAAACAAGCAGCCAGAAAAGCGGGGAAAAUGCCAAGGCAUGCGAAAAGCAAAGGAGGGCAGCAAACAAAACCCAAGUCGGACACUGACAGGGACAGGGAUAGGAAAAAUCCAGACCAUGGC